rnacentral:rRNA from 1 species
UCGCCUGUUUAUCAAAAACAUAGUUUUAUGAUACUUAUAUAAAAUAACUUCUGCCCAGUGUCUAAAAAGAUAAAUGGCCGCAGUACCUUGACUGUGCUAAGGUAGCAUAAUCAAUUGGCUUUUAAUUGAAGUCUAGAAUGAAUGGGAAAAUGGAAUUUAGCUGUCUUAAUUUUUUUAAUUAAAAUUUAUUUAUAAGGUGAAAAUACCUUAAAAUUAAAUAAAGACGAGAAGACCCUAUGAAUUUUUAAAUGUAUUUUUGUUGGGGCGACAGUUUAAAAAAUAAUCUUAAAUUUAUAACAUAUAACGAAUUUUUUAAUAAAAAUUAAAUUACCUUAGGGAUAACAGCAUUAUUAUUAAAAUAGUUUGUGACCUCGAUGUUGGACUAGGAACUAAAAGGCUAACCGUCUUUAUAGAUUUGUUCUGUUCGAACAAUUUAAUCCUACGUGAUCUGAGUUCAGACCGGA